CCGACUUCUCGGCCUUUGGCUAAGAUCAAAAGUGUAGAUCUGUUCUUAUCAGCUUAAUAUGAUACGUCCUCCAUUGGGGGGACAUCGAUAUUUAACAAUGAUUUUUGAAAGGGGGUGAGGUGCACCGGGGCUUGCUCCGCCCUCACCACGGGUUGGGAACCCCGGGAUGAGUGACUUCGGGAAUGGCCCACCACUA